rnacentral:lncRNA from 1 species
GCAGCUGGCUAAGCGCUAGCCCGGCCUGUGGCGAGUCUGCAGAGCUCGCCCGGAAGUAGCGUUGCGCGCGCAGAGGAUGGGCGCUGAGCAGCACACAGCCCGCGGCGGGGUCUCAGGAUCCGCGGCGCUGCCCGGGGCCGGGGGAAGGAAGCCAGCCGAGGAGACGCACGUGCCCUGAGUCCGGGAGCGGGGAGCCUCUUCAUCUCUCCAUCCUCCCUCCGCGCGCGCCCUCAGCCGUCCUCGUCCGCUCACCAUGCACCUCCCCUCCAAGAAAGGGCCACAUGCGUGCCAGGGACGCGAGCCCCGGCCACAGGGACAUAGCAGCCUAGAAGAUAUAUAAUGAUUAUUCUGAAGCCCUCAAAUACAGUCCAUUCGGGAAAGCCUCUAGAACUGCCUGUCCACGCCUCAUGGCUGCAAUGUGCCACUGAGACAUACACCCUGACCACAGAAGGCCAGUGGCGUCGCACGACAUUUCGGCAAGCUGUCUGAACAUACAGAAUGCAAAACAGUUGGGAUAGAGUUUUUGGUGAGUUAAAGAAUUGAGAAGCUGAAAAUUCAAAUAUACAGUACUCAAGAAGAGGCUUAAUUCCUUAGGAUUC